AACAUCACCUUAUGGGGGAAGUGGGGCCGACAUUAGAUGUCCACCGGGCAUCAUGAAGUCCGCGGGAAUUCGAUUUUCAGCCAUACGAAUCAAACUGUGCUCGUGAACAUGACGUACUGUCAGUAACACGUGGAUAACUGCAUUAGGACUGGCAUAACCCCGGGAAACUGGGGAUAAUUCCGGAUAGUUCAUGGUAGUUGGAAUGCUCCAUGAUCGAAAGCUAUUGCGCCUAAGGAUGGGUCUGCGGUCUAUCAGGUAGUAGUGGGCGUAAUGUACCUACUAGCCGACGACGGAUACGGGUUGUGGGAGCAAGAGCCCGGAGAUGGAUUCUGAGACAUGAAUCCAGGCCCUACGGGGCGCAGCAGGCGCGAAAACUUUACAAUGCGGGAAACCGCGAUAAGGGGACACCGAGUGCCAGCAUCUCAAGUUGGCUGUCCGCAUGUAUAAAUCACAUGUGUUAGCAAGGGCCGGGCAAGACCGGUGCCAGCCGCCGCGGUAACACCGGCGGCCCGAGUGGUGGCCACUAUUAUUGGGUCUAAAGGGUCCGUAGCCGGUUUGGUCAGUCUUCCGGGAGAUCUGACGGCUUAACCGUUAGGCUUUCGGGGGAUACUACCAGGCUUGGGACCGGGAGAGGUAAGAGGUACUACGGGGGUAGGAGUGUAAUCUUGUAAUCCUCGUGGGACCACCAGUGGCGAAGGCGUCUUACCAGAACGGGUCCGACGGUGAGGGACGAAAGCUGGGGGCACGAACCGGAUUAGAUACCCGGGUAGUCCCAGCCGUAAACUAUGCUCGCUAGGUGUCAGGGACGGUGCGACCGUUUCUGGUGCCGCAGGGAAGCCGUGAAGCGAGCCACCUGGGAAGUACGGUCGCAAGGCUGAAACUUAAAGGAAUUGGCGGGGGAGCACUACAACGGGUGGAGCCUGCGGUUUAAUUGGACUCAACGCCGGAAAACUCACCGGGGGCGACAGCAAUAUGUAGGUCAAGCUAAAGACUUUAAGCUC
rnacentral:rRNA from 1 species